rnacentral:rRNA from 1 species
AACGAACGCUGGCGGCAUGCCUAACACAUGCAAGUCGAACGAGACCUUCGGGUCUAGUGGCGCACGGGUGCGUAACGCGUGGGAACCUGCCCUUAGGUUCGGAAUAACUCCCCGAAAGGGGUGCUAAUACCGGACAAUGUCUUCGGACCAAAGAUUUAUCGCCUUUGGAUGGGCCCGCGUUGGAUUAGCUAGUUGGUAGGGUAAAAGCCUACCAAGGCGACGAUCCAUAGCUGGUCUGAGAGGAUGAUCAGCCACACUGGGACUGAGACACGGCCCAGACUCCUACGGGAGGCAGCAGUGGGGAAUAUUGGACAAUGGGCGAAAGCCUGAUCCAGCAAUGCCGCGUGAGUGAUGAAGGCAUUAGGGUUGUAAAGCUCUUUUAACCGGGAUGAUAAUGACAGUACCGGGAGAAUAAGCUCCGGCUAACUCCGUG